rnacentral:rRNA from 1 species
UAUCAAUAAGCGGAGGAAAAGAAACCAACAGGGAUUGCCCCAGUAACGGCGAGUGAAGCGGCAACAGCUCAAAUUUAUCUGCCCCCAGGGCCGAGUUGUAAUUUGCAGAGGAUGCUUUUGCGCGGCGCCUUCCGAGUUCCCUGGAACGGGACGCCAUAGAGGGUGAGAGCCCCGUCUGGUCGGACGCCAAGCCAGUGUAAAGCUCCUUCGACGAGUCGAGUAGUUUGGGAAUGCUGCUCUAAAUGGGAGGUAUAUGUCUUCUAAAGCUAAAUAUUGGCCAGAGACCGAUAGCGCACAAGUAGAGUGAUCGAAAGAUGAAAAGCACUUUGAAAAGAGGGUUAAACAGUACGUGAAAUUGUUGAAAGGGAAGCGCUUGUGACCAGACUUGGGGGUGAAUCAUCAGCGUUCUCGCUGGUGCACUUCGCCGGGCUCAGGCCAGCAUCAGUUCGCGCGGGGGAUAAAAGCUUCGGGAACGCUCCGGGAGUGUUAUAGCCCGUUGCCCUGCGGUGGACUGAGGUUCGUCCGUCCGCAAUGCUGGCGUAAUGGUCAUCAGCGACCCGUCUUGAAACACGGACCAAGGAGUCGUCUUCGUAUGCGAGUGUUCGGGUGUCAAACCCCUACGCGUAAUGAAAGUGAACGCAGGUGAGAGCUUCGGCGCAUCAUCGACCGAUCCUGAUGUUCUCGGAUGGAUUUGAGUAAGAGCAUACGGGGCCGGACCCGAAAGAAGGUGAACUAUGGCUGUAUAGGGUGAAGCCAGAGGAAACUCUGGUGGAGGCUCGCAGCGGUUCUGACGUGCAAAUCGAUCGUCAAAUAUGGGCAUGGGGGCGAAAGACUAAUCGAACCUUCUAGUAGCUGG